GGGAGGCUUCGAGCGAGGAGGAUGCAGGAAUGCAGCCCUAGCCGCCCGCCCGGGCCAGAACUCCGCUGGCUCCUCCAGCCCUUGCCGCCCGCCCGGCUCCUUGAUCCGCUGCAGCUGAGCACCGCCGCCGCCCUGGCUUCCUGCAGGGCCACGAGCUGGGGGGUCAGUCUCCGAGGUUCUGUGCCACACAGCUACUAGUUUAAAUGAGGAAAAUUAAGUAAACCUUGCCCUGAGUAGAUUAAGAUGAGCCUUCAAAGUGUGUGAGCUCUCUUGUGGCCUUGCUGGGGGCUCUGGCAAUGGCCUAAGUGCUGGGCAGCACGGAAAAUAAGAAAAAUCAGAGUGCCCAGAAGAACUCACAGCAGAGCUGGAAAGAAAGGAGUAGAGCAGGCCAGGGGCAUUCUCUUCCAUUGCUGGGUGUUGCUGGACAGUGCCUGAAGGAAUCUGGCUCAGAAGACCACUGGCACAAAGGACUAGUUUUUCAAUGUCCACGUCCUAUAUCCUUCUUUGGGGUCCAUUACAGUGUCCUCCAUGAAGUGUUAACGUCAUUUCAGAAUCCCAAGCCUUUAAUCACUUGGUAAGGACUGGAGAAAGUCCGUGGAAAGUUCACACAGCACCAGAGCAAAUAGACUUUAACAGAGCUACCUUCAGGAUGACAGUUACAAAAACAUUUGGAGCUAGAGACGUAGCUCAGUCAUGGAAUUCUUGCUGCUACACAGGAAGAAACGGGUCUAUCAAUUAUGAAUGUCUUCAUGCGCAAGGCGGUGGCAGAGCAGCGGGAGAACCAAACUCUUUCAUACUGCCAAGGGAAAUCUGGAGAAAGGCAUAAGUUUCUUUUCAGAUGGAAAAGGGAACAUGUUAGACUCCUGGGCUGCUACUGUUUGAAGAGUGUAGACUAAAAUCUGGAAGAGCUCGUGUAUUUCGGCUGUGAAGCACUGUUCCUGAAUGUUCAUCUUGUGAAAGUCGCUUGGCCACGGACAGUAAACUCUCACAGGUCACUGAAGCCAGAAAGAGUUGAAGAAAUGACUGGAUGUUGUUUCUGCCAGGAUUACAGGUCCCAGGGACCACACUGAGGCUACCAAGCUCUGAAGAGAUCACCUUGCUGGCUGAGCCCUUCAUCUCACCAGGCCCUUUAGACCUACUGACAAAAUAAAAUGCAUAUUUGCUAUUGUUUGGAUGA